GACGAACGCUGGCGGCGUGCUUAACACAUGCAAGUCGAACGGAAAGGCCCUGCUUUUGUGGGGUGCUCGAGUGGCGAACGGGUGGGUAACACGUGAGCAACCUGCCCUUGACUUUGGGAUAACUUCAGGAAACUGGGGCUAAUACCGGAUAGGAGCUCCUGCUGCAUGGUGGGGGUUGGAAAGUUUCGGCGGUUGGGGAUGGACUCGCGGCUUAUCAGCUUGUUGGUGGGGUAGUGGCUUACCAAGGCUUUGACGGGUAGCCGGCCUGAGAGGGUGACCGGCCACAUUGGGACUGAGAUACGGCCCAGACUCCUACGGGAGGCAGCAGUGGGGAAUAUUGCACAAUGGGCGGAAGCCUGAUGCAGCAACGCCGCGUGCGGGAUGACGGCCUUCGGGUUGUAAACCGCUUUCGCCUGUGACGAAGCGUGAGUGACGGUAAUGGGUAAAGAAGCACCGGCUAACUACGUG
rnacentral:rRNA from 1 species